UACGUAGGGUGCGAGCGUUAAUCGGAAUUACUGGGCGUAAAGCGUGCGCAGGCGGCGCGUUAAGACAGGUGUGAAAGCCCCGAGCUUAACUUGGGAAUUGCGCUUGUGACUGGCGUGCUGGAGUGUGGCAGAGGGAGGUGGAAUUCCACGUGUAGCAGUGAAAUGCGUAGAGAUGUGGAGGAACACCGAUGGCGAAGGCAGCCUCCUGGGCCAACACUGACGCUCAUGCACGAAAGCGUGGGGAGCAAACGGG
rnacentral:rRNA from 1 species